GCCAGCAACCAUAUCACCCUGGAACUCACAACCGGCAACCAAGCAGGUGUGAGCCUGGUCAGUACCCGGAUGGGAGACCUCCUGGGAAAAACUAAAGUUGCUGCUGGAA
rnacentral:rRNA from 1 species